CUUAGAAGUGUGCCUGGUUAAGAAGACUGUGAAAAACUAAUAUAAAGUUAGGCCAGCAACACAGUAUUUUUGAACUGCCACUAUGCAAUACAAGCUUUGGCUGGAAUCUUCUUCCCCAGUGCUUCUCAUACUCCCCAGUGCUCCUCAUGCCUCCUUUUCAUCCCUUAAUUGUCACCUCAGAGGGGCACUAAAAACCCAUCUAAAAUAGAUGACAAAUGAAACUCAGACAUGAAGGACGACUUAUACAAAGUCCAGCUCUUUAGUGCCAGAGAUGAGACCAGGAAGUCAGAUAUAUUUGAUUACAGAGUCUACACUUGUUCCAGGCAACAACAUAACCCCUAUUCUGCAAAACUGGAAUGACAAGUGGACGUAUAUAGAGAUUUAUAAAGUUUAAAAGAAAAGAUGAGUAUUAGAAAUAGAACAAGAAUGACUACUCCAACCCUCAGAAAGAUGACAAGCAUGCAGUUUCCACUGAAGCUAAAAUUUAAAGAAAAGUAAUCAAGAAUAACUUAUUAACAAACCUCUGGAACAAAGGUCUGUUUUACAAAGUCAGCCGAGGUUGAAGGAGUCAAAGGAAAUCAUCCCUGGGGCUUCAGAAACGGAGAUGGCAGCAAAGAAGGAGAGACAUUUCUAUGUGCCUCUUGAAGACGGAGCCAGGGAUUUAGAAAAGCCUAGUCAUCUGGAAGUAAAAGUAGCAGCUUCCAGACGAUAAUAUGUGUAUGCUCUGCAACAGGGAACUGUAAGUAAAUGUCUCAAGAAAGGCAGACAUGCUCAGUGCACAGAUGCCUGGGUAACAUGUGGGUGGGGGGAUAUCCGAGUUCUUAAAUUUCUGUCCGUCUGUGCUUCUGUUAUCCCUCAGAAGUCCAGUUUAGAUACUGAUAUUCAGAUAUAGACAUACAUCCGUAGUGAGUCAUGUGUUACCGGCACACUUGUAAAAGGAGAAAUAAACCCAAUCAGUCUACUGCCUCAAACUUUUCUGUGCUUUCUUAAUGGGUUCAAUUAGCUAAGUAAUAAAUUUUAAUUCCUUCAACUUUGGGUGCUUUACUUACUAUCUGUUAUAAGGCAAAUGGCCAUGACCAUACUUGGCAAAAGCGCCAUAUCACUAACUACGUAGGUGGCACUCCUGAGGAAAUGAACAACUAUUUUGUAAAAUCAUACAAAGCCUUUUAGCUUGCUUCGAUAGCUGUCAGAUUACUAGUGCUAUUUGAGGGGAUUCCUAUGCCCUUAUACAUUCAAGGUCAUAAAUAGAAAGCAGUUUUAACUUACAUCAGCCCGGUUUCAAUACUGGACAAGUCAGGUCAGUUAAAAUAUUCUGGAAUUGUUGAAUACAAGCAGGUGUUCAUUAAAUUCUUAAAGGAGAAAAAUACACUUCUACUCACUGUUUUAAUACUCAUAUCUUAUUCUUUAUGUAGUUUCUUUAAAUCAUGCUUACAUAUAUUUUAAAGUCUAAUCUAAUUUGAAUUACCUCUUCUUCACUAGCUGUGAACAAAAUGUCAGAUACAAAGGAGGGCCUAGAAAUCAAACAAUUUGGAUUUCUAAAGGACAGAAUGCAAUCUGAAAGUAAGACACCAUUACCUGGACUGCCAGCAUCUAAGUCAUUUUAUGAGUGGUGUUUCUAAAAAAUUCCAUAGAUAAUAACUAUAUGGAGAUCAUGGCCAAGAAGUGUCUUCUUGAAUUAGGUGAGUUCUAGACAUGUUUUGCAAGAAAUCGUACUCAAAAAGAAUCAACCCCAAUGCUGCAAAAAUUUCAAAGAGGGUUAACCCUAUGUCUCAGAGAACUUUAGCCUGCUAAAUUCUUCCAAUGAGCCUCUGAUGUAAAGAUAAGAUUUAAUAUUCUUCCAUUCUUCUAAGCAGUGUCUAAAAUAGUAUAACAAAAAUGUUUUACUUUUAAAGUUAUCUACACUUCAAAAUUUUCUAUGGUUUAUGAAAAUAGUUUGGCAAUACAAAAUUUCUAUGUUCUGCAUAGAUGGUUUAGUUCUUCAAAAAUCCCUGAGGCUCUAGUUUCUAUUAACAAGAUGCUACUUUUCAAUGAACCAGGCAAGAAAUAACAGUACUAUGAUUAUUAAUGACUAAUUCCCACAAUUUGGAAUUAUUUAUGUUCAAGUGAGCUUAAAAUAAAAAAAUUGGCAGAUAUGAAUUCGAAGUCAUGCAGAAAUACUACAUGCAUCUUUAUAGAAACAGUAGGUUUCUGUUGUUUUUAUUGGUUUUCUUCUAUUGUAUUUUUACUUAUAGUGCAGAAAUAUAGUUCUAAAGGUACCAAAAAAUCUGAUCAUCCAACUAUGGAUAAUAUAUUACAUUUUUAUAAUAUGUUUAUUUGUAUAAUGUGUUUUAUUUGUAAACAUUACCACACUAGUAAACAUUACUAGACUCUAAAAUGCUAGUUCUCCAGCGUCUCAAGUCAAACACCUGACUGAACAAUGUUAAACGACUGUCUUUACAUCAGGAAUUCUCAAAGCCCAUUUGUAUUGCAAAUUCUCAGAAAGGGCAAUAUUAUGCAGCAAUUUCCAAAUGAAUUUGACCAUAGUCCAAUUAAUGGUACUCACUGGAAUUUGAGACAUUGCUCCAGGACCCAUAUGCCUCACGCUUCUGAAAUAAUCCAUUCCAUUAAAGGUAGUACAACCACUUUUAAUGUCAGAAAACUAUUAUUACUGAUACAAAAUUUAAAUUUCUCUUAUUAAAUAUGUUCUUUUAAUGCUAA